rnacentral:rRNA from 1 species
GACGAACGCUGGCGGCGUGCUUAACACAUGCAAGUCGAGCGGUAAGGCCCUUUCGGGGGUACACGAGCGGCGAACGGGUGAGUAACACGUGGGUGACCUGCCCUCAGCUCUGGGAUAAGCCUGGGAAACCGGGUCUAAUACUGGAUAUGACUCCAUGACGCAUGUUGUGGGGUGGAAAGCCUUGUGCGGCUGAGGAUGGGCCCGCGGCCUAUCAGCUUGUUGGUGGGGUGANGGCCUACCAAGGCGACGACGGGUAGCUGGUCUGAGAGGAUGGUCAGCCACACUGGGACUGAGACACUGCCCAGACUCCUACGGGAGGCUGCAGUCGAGAAUCAUUCGCAAUGCACGAAAGUGCGACGAUGCGACGCCGCGUGCAGGAUGAA